UACGAAGGGGGCUAGCGUUGCUCGGAACCACUGGGCGUAAAGCGCACGUAGGCGGGUUGCCAAGUCGGGGGUGACAUCCUGGAGCUCACCUCCAGAACUGCCUUCGAUACUGGCGAUCUUGGAGUCCGGGAGAGGUGAGUGGAACUGCGAGUGUAGAGGUGAAAGUCGUAGAUAUUCGCAAGAACACCAGGGGCGAAGGCGGCUCACUGGCCCGGUACUGACGCUGAGGUGCGAAAGCGUGGGGAGCAAACAGG
rnacentral:rRNA from 1 species